rnacentral:lncRNA from 1 species
CUCUUUGAUCUCUUCCAAAAUUCCCAUAUCUUCCACAUCCUUGACAUUUUCAUAUAUAGCUUCUAGUCUCUACCCCGUAUGCAAGAGGUGCUGGAGUGUCAAGUAACUCAUUAAUCGUAUUCUCAUCGAACCAAAUAUCUUUCCCACGAACAUAUGACUUGAACAUAUCUUUUUUCUUUCUCUUUUGGUAUGCAUUCGAAUAAAAUUCAAUGGCAAGUGAACAAUUUCGCUCCUUUGCUAACCCAUUUAAUUUCAACCAAUUCCUCUUCUCAAGUGCUUCCUUAAUUCCCUCAAUGAGAUUUUUCUCAAGAGAGAAUGAUCUCUUUUCAACAAAGGGC